rnacentral:rRNA from 1 species
CUUGGUCAUUUAGAGGAAGUAAAAGUCGUAACAAGGUCUCCGUUGGUGAACCAGCGGAGGGAUCAUUACCGAGUUUACAACUCCCAAACCCCCUGUGAACCUAUACCAUUACUGUUGCUUCGGCGGGUCAUUGCCCCGGGGAAAGGACGAGGUGCCGCCUAGGCUCCCCGGCCCGCCCCCGGAAACAGGCGCCUGCCGGGGGAAUCAAACUCUUCUGUAUUUUUUACUUUUACUGUUAUACUGUCUGAGUACAAAACUAUAAAUGAAUCAAAACUUUCAACAACGGAUCUCUUGGUUCUGGCAUCGAUGAAGAACGCAGCGAAAUGCGAUAAGUAAUGUGAAUUGCAGAAUUCAGUGAAUCAUCGAAUCUUUGAACGCACAUUGCGCCCGCCAGUAUUCUGGCGGGCAUGCCUGUUCGAGCGUCAUUACAACCCUCAAGUCCCCUGUGGACUUGGUGUUGGGGACCGGCGACACGCAGCUGUGUUUUUCUCACAGUUGGUUCGCCGCCCCCUAAAUGACUUGGCGGCCCCGUCUUAGGCUACUCCUCUGCGUAGUAGAACACACCUCGCAACAGGAAGCCCGGCGAAUGGCCACUGCCGUAAAACCCCCCAACUUCUUUCAGAGUUGACCUCGAAUCAGGUAGGAAUACCCGCUGAACUUAAGCAUAUCAAUAAGCGGAGGA